AAAAAAGGGUCUGACGACUGCCCAAACCACACCGUGAACCACUUUUCUUAUUGAUGCUCUGGCAGGCCGCCCGCUGGGGGGGCUCAGGCCGCGGUUUCGCGGUAGGUCUGCCGGUGGCUCGCAAACCAAAACUCUUUUGAACGUCUCUCUGAGAAUAUCUAACUCCUCUUAGCGGGAGAAAAAAAAGUCA
rnacentral:misc_RNA from 1 species